GAAGGAUGUGGUGCACUGUAAUUGCCCUUUCAACGUGAGACAGGGCUUAGCUCACGGACCUUGGUUUACGAUGCCUUGCCUUUGUUAGAGAGGUGAAAAGGAAGAGAAUGCAUCACUGCUUUACAUCGUAACUGAAGCGAAUCUGCACGUCCAGUCCACUGAGGAGACAGCUCUGUUUUCCUCAGCAUCACUGCAGACAUACCAGGAAGUCUAAAAUACUUUGGGAAGUAAAAUUUUGAGCAGUUAUUUUAUAUAUGUCAUAUCCAGUGGUUCACCUUGCUGCCCUGAGGCCACUUCCGUAUGACAACUAAACUGCUGAGCGCUUAUUUAGCCUAAUACUGGCUGCCACUGCUAAUUCCCUAGCCUGUGGGAUCCAAUACUUUGUGUUUCAUAGAGCUGAAAGACCCUAUUUUAGAAAAUAGUGUUUGUAUCGAAAACUGAUGCCAGUGCAUCACCACUCCUUCAGAGAAGGACUUGACGAACUCUCGCUUUUAGUGUUUCAUUGAAUGUUUGGCUCAGUUUCCUUCUGACGAGCAAGGAUUUUUGCAUGGGUGUAGUUUUACUUUCUAAAAUAACAAAUGUCUGUCUGUUCGGUGAUGUGCGUGCAUCAGAAGACAGGGUAAAAUAAACAGGCUGAAGGGCUUUGAUUUGCAGCACGGUUAAGCAGUGCAGGUAGAGCUGUGUUUCUUUUGGAUCAGCUGCUUUGCUUCGCCUUUGCAGUGCACUUCAUAAAUGCUGCAGACGGGUUUUUCAGAGCUUAUAAACUUAGCAGAAAUAAAAAGAACUAAGGGGCCUGACAGCUGAGAGAACUUUAUAAGUGCCACUGAAAGCCAGUAGGUCCCCAGCUCCUGGGGAGUAUAUCAGAGCCCUUGCAGGGUUUAUAAAUUCUGCUUAUUUACUGGCAGGUUUCCAUCCUGGUCAUAAAAGCCAUAGGUCAAAAAGCUCUGUUAGAUGGGGAACACGAAACCCAGCUUUCAUUUAACUCCAGCUUCUUGCACAAGGCUGUGUAGCUCAUCAGUGCAACUGUGGUGUACAGCCCUAAAUGUCACUGGGAACCCAACUGAGGACAAGUGUCCAUAGCUCCUGGCUUUGUGUAGAGCAGAUCCCUGAAGAAGUGAGCUCCUGUUCAGGCUCUAUUUAUAUCAAUCUUUGCUCUUUACAAUAGGGGAAACCCUAAAGGUUUGCUCAGGUGGGGCUUUGUCCCAGUUCAUCUUAACCCACCUCCAGGGCUGCUCCGAGCCCCUGCGGUGUGAAUCGAUCUGCUGUUUCUUUUCUCCUUCAUGCACCCAUCUCCAUCUCAGAAAAUCUGGGCUCAUGAAUAGACCAAUUUGUCCACAGGAGCCCAAGCAGCUCCUCCCCUGCUCCACAUCCCUCAGCACUGCUAUGGGCAGGAAGAGGAGGAAUCACCAGAUCACAUCAGGUUCCUUCUAAGUAUCGCAGUCCUGGCUCAGCUCCACCCCAGCUGACAAGCUGCUUUAAUGGAUAGGCAGUGGCCUUCAGUGGAGGGGCUAAAUGUAAAACUUUCCUCUGCUUCUCUUGUCAAAGUUAAAAGCUUUUCAUGCCUGUGUUAAUGUUUCCUUUUUUUUUUUUUCCCUCCUGUCUGCUGGCACCAAUGACAAAUACUACAUCUUGCAUUGAGUAACAGUAUAUUGAAUGGCUGGCAGAGGCAGAAUACGGCACCUGUAAUUUAUCUCCGGGAGUUUGGGUUGGAUGACACUGCUGGGAACAGACCGGGGCUCUGAGCUGUCACCUGAUUACUAAUUCUAGGAUUUCUCCUCCGAGAGUGAGAAGGAGUGAGCUAGGAUGAAGGGUACAAAAAGCAAAUCAAUAAACAGGUUAGUGUUUGCAUCAUUAUUAACACUCGGGCUGUCAACACACCCAUUGAAACUAUCGCUCAGGGCAGCUUCAGAUUUAAUGGUCAGUGUAACAGAUUUACUGUAAAUGUUAGCUAAGGCACAGCGAGGAGUGGGGGGGUCUCAUUGACAAAUAACAGAGAUUUCAGUGGGAUGCAUGAAGCUGUUUAUGUGUGUGCAUAAAUAACGCGGCGAUCGGCGCACGGAGGCGGGUGGCUUUCUGCAGUAUUUCUUCCUGCAGGGCUGUGGCUUGUCCCUGCCCGCUGCCUCCCCUCUGGCAGCCCAACACAGCCACACAUCAAUUGAAUCGCAGGGAGCUUUGAUCCCAGGAACCCAUCACAAACCCCAUAAUAGCCUGGAGGAGGGAGGGGAGGGGAGGGAAGGAAAGGGUGACGCUGCCAUCUGCAAGCUGAGUCAGCUCAUGGAGUUGGGUUUUGUUGGCUUUUGCUCCUGUCGUCUUCCCUUCUCCACAGACAGUCAUCUUUGCAGAGGUUCCUUAGGAGAGCCCCUGGCAUUUCCCCUUCCCUGACAAUGGGUCAUACCUCUAUGGGUAAUGGACAGUGGGUCUUCAUGCUUUCCACAAGUGACAAACAACUGAGCAGCUCCAAGCACUACAAAUGAACAUGUGAUCAAGUGUUUCUGCUUAAAUUACCAAUAAAAUGCUAAAUCUGUGACAGAAUAAAUUGGCUGAAGAUGAAUCCCCCUGACUCCUGUCUGUGCUGCUGCUUUUUCAAAUGAAAACCCUCAUAAAGAAAUUAAGCUGGUUGAAAGGAAAAGCACCUAAAUUCGCAUAGCUUGCAUGGUGGAGGGUUUCCCAGAUUGCUCCAUCAUCUGGACCAGACCCUUCUUCAGGAAUACUCUGCUGCUUCUUUUUUGUUUGUUUGUUUUUAAAAGGUUCCCACAGGCACACUUCUGAUGGUGCUUCAAUCUCCCUAAUUGUUUCUGCCCAGUGCUGCUGCCAGGAGAAGGGACCCAGAGGCUGAGGGCAGCACACACAUGCUCAGACUUAAGGGCUGCUCGCUGCCCUGUAGGUGUGAGGCUGAUGGCAAUACGCUGCUCACUGCUUUCAUCUUUCCAAACUGCAUCUUCAUCACCUGUCCUCCAGGCAGACAUCUGAUAUAGGCUAAGUCUCCUGGCCCCCAGAAUGAAAGGGUCCAUGCUGGGAUCACCUAAAUCAAUUGGACUUUGCCACAAGAGAAUCACAGAAGCAUAGAAUCAUAAAGGUUGGAAAAGACUGCUGAGAUCAUCAAGCCCAACUGUCAACUCAUCACCACAAUGCCCACUAAACAGUAUCCCUAGAAUGGACUCAAACAAUGCCAGAUGCUUGGAAGUUCCUAGAUAUGUCCUAAAAAUAACCCAGCAAAGAUCUUUCAGAUGGUUCUUGGAGGAAACUUCCAUUCAGAGCAGCUAAAGAGAGAGCCAGCAUAAACUUGGGACAGCAUUUGAGGCUGUUUCUCAAGGAAGGGGUGAGGUUGGUCACCUAGGAGAUAUCUUUGGAGCAUGAGUAGUGCAGCUGCCUUUCUUUGGUCUGUCCCAGACUUACUU
ensembl:lncRNA